UCGAUGGCAGAGUGACUGAGUUACUUUACAUAAUUUACUAAGUUAUAAUAAGUCAUAAUUAAAUAUUAUUGUUUUACUGCUUAUUCGAUAAUAAAUCAGCUAAAAACUAAAUACACUUGUAAAGUUUGAUAGUUGUUGACCAUUUUGCAAGGCCUACUUGAUUAACGAUGAAAAUUACAAAGUAAAGUAUAUUUUUUGGGAUUAUUUUAAGAACUGUAAAAGAUAGAUAUAGGUAUAGGUUGCAAAAAAUCACCUCAAAUGUAGAUGUUCUUUCGAUUUCCUUUAACAAAAUAGGGUCGUUCUGUUUGAAAAAAAAUGAAUUCUAGUCGUAUUUUAAUCAUCAUUUUGAAAAAAUCAUAUUAGCCUUGAAUUUUGACAGUUGCUUUAAAAAUUCUAGAAGGCCCUUCCAACUUUCGGUUAUCGAAUGCAAAGUAAAAUAUUCACUUAUCGCAAAGGGUCCAAAAUUUUACAAAAAUGACAUAUGUCAAAAACUAUGCCAGAUAAGUACCAAAACUUUAUUUUGAAAAGGAAAUUCAAAAAUGAAAAAUGCAAUAAAAAUGUGUGGUUACUAUUUAGUAUUAGAAUUUAAAAGUUUCUAGUGUGAACUUAGAAGAAUAACCCUGUAUAUACCUAUACGAAAAACGAGUUUAAUUGUAACAUUAUUUCCUCAAUUUACCACAGUUACUCAACUCGUCCAUUAAUUUUUAAGCCACGAAAAACACAGGAUGUUUGUUGCUUAAGUGAAAGUUUUCACUCGUGUAAUUCGGACAUUUUUGACAGUUGUUUAGCUUUCUACAGUUAACGAGGUGGCGCCGAGCCGGACACGGCCGUCUUGAUUACUUUAAUCUUUUUUUGAGGAUGAUGAUGCGGCACAAACAGUUCCUGCAUCUUUAAAUUUCAAGGUCGUGUCGUCACCACGUUUCAAAUACUAAUUACUUGUACUUUGCUUAAAAAAAAUCAAGUCUGCAUGAACCGUUGUAGGCUUAAGAUAAGGGAGAUAAUUGCCAACAACGUAAUUACGAAUUGUACUAUCAUUUAAUGUACUAUAUUGUAAAAAUAGAUUAGAGUGCUGUGAAAAUUUGACAGUUGGCCGCAUCAUGGCCCACUUUUCGAACGUUGAAAGUUUAUCAAAAAUGGGCCAAAAGGAUAAGUUUGGACGGAAAUAGACAAAACACAUUGAUAGUUUCUGCAUGUGUUUAUUUAUAAUUAAUGAAUCAAAGGUCGCGAUGCGAGAAUAAUUUACGCAAAAUCGUGACGUCAGCAUAAACAAGUUGAAAAUCGUCCAUUUUUAUAAAACAAAAGAACAGUCAUGUGAUGCCAAUGCCACCAUAAAAAAGGAACUAAAUCAUGUAUUUAUUCCGCAUCGUGAGUUAUAUUUUUAUCCGUUUGUGAUAAGCAGGUACAACAAAGACCAUUUUUUAACACGACUUAAUUACAACUCAAACAAUAACAGAUGAAGACAAUGAAUUGAAUCAAGGCUAGUUUUUUCCGAAACUUUCCUUCGAACAAUUGAGACAAAGAAGCGCAACGACACGUAAUUAAUUAGAUAAAAAUAUGUAAAUUUAUGCCGGAAGUUCAGCAAAACCGCAAGUUUCAAGGCUUGACAGAUAAUUUUCGAUCUAGUUACCUGGUUUUUGGAGGAAGUUGCUCCAAGGCCGCCUUUGCUUACUUAACUGUUUAGCGUGCUGUCAUGUGAGGCCAUUUUGGUGGAUGCGCCGGUCCCAGCCUACUUGUUUUUCUCAUUUACGUAAUUAUUUAUGUAAGCACAGUCUACUUUCAUCGCAGAUUUCGACUGACCUUGAGUGUGUUUUGUUUAAUUUUGACCUACUGCAAUUGUUAUAUAGUUAGCCUCGAUUUAACAAACGAAAAAUAAGAGUAACCACCGGUAAAUCCAGUUGGCCGCGUUUGUAAAAUUUACCGCAUCAUCGAAGAAUGCCGCGGUGAUCAUAGCCUACUUUCCCGUAACCCAGUUCAGCGAAAGUAAGAUGAGUGGUUGCAGUUGUUACGUAACUGUGGUGCAUCGAACCUAUAGGGACCUUCGUUUUUUUAACCCUAAUUAUAGGUUUGUAAGCAUCGCGUGGCUUGGCCACGUCACUUAUCGGACGACGUGUAGUUUAUUGACCAGACUGAUACGCGGAAGAAACAAUUAAACCUUGAAUGUUCUAGUGGAGUAGGCCAUGACUGAGGAACUGAAGAAUUUGCUCGCCUUCAAUUGGCACGACUGUGUCAUAAUGAGUGGUUUGUGGGAACGCCCACAAAAAGUAGGACCUUCGAUUGUCUUUUGUCGGUUUUUUAACAAUUGAAAAUACAGUGUUGCCAACUCAAAAUAUGCAGCAAUCAAAGCCGACUGUUUUCACCAAAUUAGAAAAUUAAAUAUAUGCAAUAUUGUGUACAAGAUUUAAUUUGGUGUUUUUUUUUGUCCGAAAAAAUAAAGAUAUUUUAAUUAUCGUUUUA